GAUGAACGCUAGCGAUAGGCUUAACACAUGCAAGUCGAGGGGCAGCAUGGUCUUAGCUUGCUAAGACUGAUGGCGACCGGCGCACGGGUGCGUAACGCGUAUGCAACUUGCCUCACAGAGGGGGAUAACCCGUCGAAAGACGGACUAAUACCGCGUACACUUGGAGGGAGGCAUCUCCCAUCAUGGAAAAGAAAUUCGCUGUGAGAUAGGCAUGCGUCCCAUUAGCUAGUUGGUGAGGUAACGGCUCACCAAGGCAACGACGGGUAGGGGAACUGAGAGGUUGAACCCCCACACUGGUACUGAGACACGGACCAGACUCCUACUGGAGGCAGCAGUGAGGAAUAUUGGUCAAUGGGCGAGAGCCUGAACCAGCCAAGUCGCGUGAAGGAUGACUGUCUUAUGGAUUGUAAACUUCUUUUGUAGGGGAAUAAAGAACGGUACGUGUACCGUAGUGAAUGUACCCUACGAAUAAGCAUCGGCUAACUCCGUGCCAGCAGCCGCGGUAA
rnacentral:rRNA from 1 species